rnacentral:rRNA from 1 species
AACGUAGGACACAAGCGUUAUCCGGAGUUACUGGGCGUAAAGGGCGCGUAGGCGGGCUGACAAGUCUGGGGUGAAAUGCCGCGGCUCAACCGUGGAACUGCCUCAGAUACUGUCGGCCUCGAGGAAGGUAGGGGCAUGCGGAACUGUAGGUGGAGCGGUGAAAUGCGUUGAUAUCUACAGGAACUCCGGUGGCGAAAGCGGCGUGCUGGACCUUUUCUGACGCUGAGGCGCGAAAGCUAGGGGAGCAAACGGG